ensembl:misc_RNA
GGUGGGGGCUGGGUAAAAGGAGGGAGGGGAGAACUCCCGCGCCCCAAGAGAGAAAGCAAACAGCUAGCGGUGGAGGCGCUGCCCACAGCUCAGGCUUCCCAACAGGUUAGCUAGACUGGGAUCCACCUGGUAUUUCGCAGGAGGGGGGGCAGAGGAGGAGAGAGCCUUCCUAGGAGACAGAGGGAGGGAGGGAGGGAA